rnacentral:rRNA from 1 species
CUACGGGGGGCAGCAGUGAGGAAUAUUGGUCAAUGGGCGCAAGCCUGAACCAGCCAUGCCGCGUGAAGGAUGACGGCCCUAUGGGUUGUAAACUUCUUUUAUACAGGAAGAAACGCCUCUACGUGUAGAGGUUUGACGGUACCGUACGAAUAAGCAUCGGCUAACUCCGUGCCAGCAGCCGCGGUAAUACGGAGGAUGCAAGCGUUAUCCGGAUUUAUUGGGUUUAAAGGAUACGUAGGCGGAAGAUUAAGUCAGUAGUGAAAUCCUGCAGCUUAACUGUAGAACUGUUAUUGAUACUGGUUUUCUUGAAUGUAGUUGAGGUAGGCGGAAUAAGUAAUGUAGCGGUGAUAUGCUUAGAUAUUACUUAGAACACCGAUUGCGAAGGCAGCUUACUAAGUUAUGAUUGACGCUGAGGUACGAAAGCGUGGGGAGCGAACAGGAUUAGAUACCCCAGUAGUC